rnacentral:rRNA from 1 species
UAGGGAAUCUUGCACAAUGGGCGCAAGCCUGAUGCAGCAACGCCGCGUGCGCGAUGAAGGCCUUCGGGUCGUAAAGCGCUUUUCUGGAGGACGAGAAGGGACGGUACUCCAGGAAGAAGGCUCGGCUAACUACGUGCCAGCAGCCGCGGUAAAACGUAGGAGCCUAGCGUUAUCCGAAUUUACUGGGCGUAAAGCGCGUGCAGGCGGCUUGGUAAGUUGGCUGUGAAAUCUCCCGGCUCAACUGGGAGGGGACGGUCAAGACUGCCAGGCUGGAGGCAGGGAGAGGGAGGUGGAAUUCCCGGUGUAGUGGUGAAAUGCGUAGAGAUCGGGAGGAACACCAGUGGCGAAAGCGGCCUCCUGGCCCUGACCUGACGCUGAGACGCGAAAGCUAGGGGAGCGAACGGGAUUAGAAACCCCGGUAGUCCCUAGCCGUAAACGAUGUCGACUGGGCGGCGGUGGGGUAAAAGCCAUCGGUGCCGCAGCUAACGCGCUAAGUCGACCGCCUGGGGA